GAUCAGCCCUGAAGGUUCCUGGGGCAGGCAGGACCAGGAAGAUUUUCCCGAGACGCAGCUCAGCUCUGGGGCCAGGGCAGAGCUCGUCAGAUAUCGAGCAGGGCCGUCAAUGCUGCAGCUCCGAGUGAAAGCAAAAAUCAGUUAAUGGUCCUGCCGAGCCCUGCUCUGGGCGUGGGGAGUCCUCACAGAACCCGGGGCGGGUGAUUCGUGAGGGGCUGCUCAGCAAAGUGAUCAUUCAGCAGCCAUUAGCGCGGGUAUAAAGCAAAAUAUCCCCAAAACCCCAGCGGGAAGAGGGAAAUCACUGCCCCAACUCGAGGAAGUGCUGCUAUUCAUCAGAGCCCGGACUGCGGUAAAAGACGCUCACAAGGUGCCUCCAACUCGAGUGGGGUGGAGCCGGAGCAACACCAACACCUGCACAGCAAAUACUCUGCAGCACCUCCCCGCCCUGACCUGCACCUGCUGGAGGAACAGCAAGACCUGGCACCGUUCUCAGGAUGAGCUGCAAAGCCCAGGCUGCUGGGGAGGCCAGGGGAGCCAGAGCUCCGAGCCUCCCGGGGGCUGGGAUUUGCCUAAUGAGGGGCUCUUUGGGAGGAGGGAUGGACCUUGUCUACACACAAAAUUGCAGGCCAAAAUUGGUCUUGUGUAGACACUCUUAAAUCAUUUUAAAGCAGGUUGGUAUUGGUUUGUAUAAUUCGAUUCCUUUGCCAAAGCGAAGCGAAAUCGAUGCAAAUGGGGUUUACAUUGAUCCCAGUACAUCCGCACAAAGGUUUUGCCCCAGUUUAAUGAAAUCAGUUUAAAAAGACACCUUUAGCUAACCUGGCAUAACUUUGUGUCCAGCCAAGGUGAGGGAGGCAGGGGGAAGGGAGGACAGGAGCGAGAUGUGCCCCAAAAAGCGGCGCUGGCGCGGAGGCUGCGGUGGCCAGAAGUGAUAAGGAACGGGUCAAUAGAGUUUUCUCAAAGAUUUUUUUUUUUUUUUUCCCCAAGAAAGGUUAAAUGUGAGGUGAUAUCGAUUUCCCUUUUCUCCUCGUCCCUCCUCUUGCCACCCCCCCCAGCCCCUUCCCUUCCUCCCUGCCCUCUCCCCACCUCCCCAGCACCCGGAGCCAGCCUUGCAGGAGGACCGGCAGCCCAAAGUGGCCAAGUGACCAGGGAGGAGCACGGCGCUGGCCAAUGGCCAUCCCAAGGAGCCCCCGUUGCUUAGCAACCCGCGGCAGAGAGAGGCAGGGAGCGCAAAAAGAUGGAUUUUCAGAUUGCAGCAGCCAAGCAGAUCAAUUCUGCAACAUGGGCUACAGUGGCCAAGCGGAAUCUCUCUUGCUCCCAGCAGGUAUUGAUCCAGCCAUGCUAUAGGCAUUGAAUGAGCUCUAAUAAGUCCUGAGUAAACAGGAACAAGGACUUAAGUGAUAGCCCAGCAGUCAAACAUCAACUCCCUUUGUCUUCUUCUUCCUCCUCUUCUUCUUUUUUU
rnacentral:lncRNA from 12 species